UCGGACGGGUGAGUAACGCGUGGGUAACCUGCCUCAUACAGGGGAAUAGCAGCUGGAAACGGCUGAUAAAACCGCAUAAGCGCACAGUGCCGCAUGGCACAGUGUGAAAAACUCCGGUGGUAUGAGAUGGACCCGCGUCUGAUUAGCUUGUUGGCGGGGUAACGGCCCACCAAGACUACGAUGGAUAGGGGUUCUGAGAGGAAGGUCCCCCACAUUGGAACUGGGACACGGUCCAA
rnacentral:rRNA from 1 species